AUUAUUGAAAGAGAUUGUGAUACUCCACAUAUCAAAAUUGGGUUACUUAAUGUUAGAUCCCUCACUUCCAAGGCAGUUAUAGUCAAUGAACUAAUCACUGAUCAUAAUCUUGAUGUGAUUGGCCUGACUGAAACAUGGCUUAAGCCUGAUGAAUUUACUGUGUUAAAUGAGGCCUCACCCCCUGGUUACACUAGUGACCAUACCCCCCGUGCAUCCGGCAAAGGCGGAGGUGUUGCUAACAUUUACGAUAGCAAAUUUCAAUUUACAAAAAAAAGAAACAAUGACGUUUUCGUCUUUUGAGCUUCUAGUCAUGAAAUCUAUGCAGCCUACUCACUCACUUUUUAUAGCUACUGUUUACAGGCCUCCUGGGCCAUAUGCAGUGUUCCUUACUGAGUUCCCUGAAUUCCUAUCGGAUCUUGUAGUCAUAGCAGAUAAUAUUCUAAUUUUUGGUGACUUUAACAUUCACAUGGAAAAGUCCACAGACCCACUCCAAAAGGCUUUCGGAGCCAUUAUCGACUCAGUGGGUUUUGUCCAACAUGUCUUUGGACCUACUCACUGCCACAGUCAUACUCUGGACCUAGUUUUGUCCCAUGGAAUAAAUGUUGUGGAUCUUAAUGUUUUUCCUCAUAAUCCUGGAUUAUCGGACCACCAUUUUAUUGCGUUUACAAUUGCAACAAAUAAUCUGCUCAGACCCCAACCAAGGAGGAUUAAAAGUUGUGCUAUAAAUUCUCAGACAACCCAAAGAUUCCUUGAUGCCCUUCCAGACUCCCUCUGCCUACCCAAGGACGUCAGAGGACAAAAAUCAGUUAACCACCUAACCGAGGAACUCAAUUUAACCUUGCGCAAUACCCUAGAUGCAGUUGCACCCCUAAAAAUUAAAAACAUCUGUCAUAAGAAACUAGCUCCCUGGUAUACAGAAAAUACACGAGCUCUGAAGCAAGCUUCCAGAAAAUUGGAACGGAAAUGGCGCCACACCAAACUGGAAGUCUUCCGACUAGCUUGGAAAGACAGUACCGUGCAGUAUCGAAGAGCCCUCACUGCUGCUCGAUCAUCCUAUUUUUCCAACUUAAUUGAGGAAAAUAAGAACAAUCCGAAAUUUCUUUUUGAUACUGUCGCAAAGCUAACUAAAAAGCAGCAUUCGCAAAUGGAGGAUGGCUUUCACUUCAGCAGUAAUACAUUUAUGAACUUCUUUGAGGAAAAGAUCAUGAUCAUUAGAAAGCAAAUUACGGACUCCUCUUUAAAUCUGGGUAUUCCUCCAAAGCUCCAUUGUCCUGAGUCUGCACAACUCUGCCAGGACCUAGGAUCAAGGGAGAUACUAAAGUGUUUUAGUACUAUAUCUCUUGACACAAUGAUGAAAAUAAUCAUGGCCUCCAAACCCUCAAGCUGCAUACUGGACCCUAUUCCAACUAAACUACUGAAAGAGCUGCUUCCCGUGCUUGGCCCUCCUAUGUUGAACAUAAUAAACAGCUCUCUAUCCACCGGAUGUGUACCAAG
ensembl:lncRNA